AACCUUUACACUGCACGCGAGUGCGAUAAGGGGACUCCACGUGCGAGGGCAUAUAGUCCUCGCUUUUCUCGACCGUAAGGAGGUCGAGGAAUAAGUGCUGGGCAAGACCGGUGCCAGCCGCCGCGGUAAUACCGGCAGCACGAGUGAUGACCGCUCUUAUUGGGCCUAAAGCGUCCGUAGCUGGCCAGGCAAGUCUAUCGGGAAAUCCGCGCGCUCAACGCGCGGGCGUCCGGUGGAAACUGUGUGGCUUGGGACCGGAAGAUCCAGAGGGUACGUCCGGGGUAGGAGUGAAAUCCCGUAAUCCUGGACGGACCACCGGAGGCGAAAGCGCUCUGGAAAGACGGAUCCGACGGUGAGGGACGAAAGCUCGGGUCACGAACCGGAUUAGAUACCCGGGUAGUCCGAGCUGUAAACGAUGUCUGCUAGGUGUGCCACAGGCUACGAGCCUGUGGUGUGCCGUAGGGAAGCCGUGAAGCAGACCGCCUGGGAAGUACGUCCGCAAGGAUGAAACUUAAA
rnacentral:rRNA from 1 species